rnacentral:rRNA from 1 species
CCCUAUAGCCCGUAAUAUCCUCGGGAAACUGAGGUUAAGGACGGAUAGAUGAUUUUUUCUGGAACGAUUAAUCGUCGAAAGUUGGCGAUAGGACGAGACUGCGGCUGAUUAGGUAGUUGGCGGGGUAAAAGCCCACCAAGCCUGUGAUCAGUAAGGGCUCUUAGCGGAGAAGCCCUGAGAGGGAAUCUGAGACACAAUUCCCAGCCCUACGGGGUGCAGCAGUCGGGAAACUUCUGCAAUGCGCGAAAGCGUGACAGAGCUAGUCAGAGUGAUUUUCUAUAUUUGAAAAUCUUUUGUGGGAUGCAAAAAGUCUCACGAAUAAGGACCGGGCAAGACUGGUGCCAGCCGCCGCGGUAAUCCCAGCGGUCCAAGUCGCAACCACGUUUAUUGGGUCUAAGACAUCCGUAGCUUGCUUCUCAAGUCUCUUGUGAAAUCUGGCCUCUUAAGGGUCGGGCGUGCAAGAGGUACUGAAAAGCUAGAGACCGGGAGACGUAACGAGUAUUAUUGGGGUAGCGGUAAAAUGCGUUGAUCCUAAUGAGACUAACAACAGCGAAGGCACGUUACGAGAACGGAUCUGACAGUGAGGGAUGAAGGCUAGGGGCGCAAAGUGGAUUAGAUACCCAUGUAGUCCUAGCAGUAAACACUGCACACUGAACAUUGGGGCCUCCUCGAGAGGUUUCAGUGCUGUAGCGAAGGCGAAGAGUGUGCUACCUGGGAAGUAUAGUCGCAAGACCGAAACUUAAAGGAAUUGGCGGGGGAGCAC